UACGAAGGGGGCUAACGUUGUUCGGAUUUACUGGGCGUAAAGCGCACGUAGGCGGGUCUUUAAGUCAGGGGUGAAAUCCCGAGGCUCAACCUCGGAACUGCCUUUGAUACUGGAGACCUUGAGUUCGGGAGAGGUGAGUGGAACUGCGAGUGUAGAGGUGAAAUUCGUAGAUAUUCGCAAGAACACCAGUGGCGAAGGCGGCUCACUGGCCCGAAACUGACGCUGAGGUGCGGAAGCGUGGGGAGCAAACAGG
rnacentral:rRNA from 1 species